AACGAACGCUGGCGGCAGGCCUAACACAUGCAAGUCGAGCGCCCUUUCGGGGGAGCGGCGGACGGGUGAGUAACGCGUGGGAAUAUGCCCUUCUCUACGGAAUAGCCUCGGGAAACUGAGAGUAAUACCGUAUACGCCCUGUGGUGGAAAGAUUUAUCGGGGAAGGAUUAGCCCGCGUUGGAUUAGGUAGUUGGUGGGGUAAUGGCCUACCAAGCCGACGAUCCAUAGCUGGUUUGAGAGGAUGAUCAGCCACACUGGGACUGAGACACGGCCCAGACUCCUACGGGAGGCAGCAGUGGGGAAUCUUAGACAAUGGGGGCAACCCUGAUCUAGCCAUGCCGCGUGAGUGAUGAAGGCCUUAGGGUUGUAAAGCUCUUUCAGCUGGGAAGAUAAUGACGGUACCAGCAGAAGAAGCCCCGGCUAACUCCGUG
rnacentral:rRNA from 1 species